rnacentral:rRNA from 1 species
UACGUAGGGGGCGAGCGUUGUCCGGAAUCAUUGGGCGUAAAGCGCGUGUAGGCGGCUUCGUAAGUCCGUUGUGAAAGUCCAGGGCUCAACCCUGGAAUGCCGAUGGAUACUGCGGAGCUAGAGUCCGGAAGAGGCGAGUGGAAUUCCUGGUGUAGCGGUGAAAUGCGCAGAUAUCAGGAGGAACACCAAUGGCGAAGGCAGAUCUCUGGGCCGUAACUGACGCUGAGGAGCGAAAGCGUGGGGAGCGAACAGG